rnacentral:rRNA from 1 species
ACGCUCGACACCUACGGGAGCAGCAGUGAGGAAUAUUGGUCAAUGGGCGCUAGCCUGAACCAGCCAAGUAGCGUGAAGGAUGAAGGCUCUAUGGGUCGUAAACUUCUUUUAUAUAAGAAUAAAGUGCAGUAUGUAUACUGUUUUGUAUGUAUUAUAUGAAUAAGGAUCGGCUAACUCCGUGCCAGAGCCGCGGUAAUCUGAGCGGGCUGGCAAGGC